GACGAACGCUGGCGGCGCGCUUAACACAUGCAAGUCGAGCGAAGCGGCGGACGGGUGAGGAACACGUGAGUAACCUGACUUAGACAUUGGGAUAGACUCGGGAAACCGGGAUUAAUACCAAAUGGUCUAAGAUGGACCCGCGUCCCAUUAGCUAGGUGGGAGGUAACGGCCCACCAAGGCGACGAUGGGUAGCCGGCCUGAGAGGGUGAACUGCCACCUUUGAACUGAGAAACGGUCCAAACUCUACGGGAGGCAGCAGUGGGGAAUCUUGCACAAUGGAGGGAACUCUGAUGCAGCGACGCCGCGUGAACGAAGAAGGCUUUCGAGUCGUAAAGUUCUUUUAUAUGGGAAGCGGUACCAUAAGAAAAAGCCCCGGCUAACUACGUGCCAGCAGCCGCGGUAAUUC
rnacentral:rRNA from 1 species